GUUGUGGAUGAACGGACGAAGCUUCUAGUUCAGACAGCAUCGCUGAUAGCUGUGGUUCGUGCCUGGAUCCUGUUGGUCCAUAAAAGAGUUGUUCGUCGGAAUAAGAAACCUCUCAUCCAGUAUGGUCCGAUGUUAACCAGGGAUAAGAGGAUAGCGUAUCUGAACUACAUCUACAACUGCAACGACACAGAGGCUCUGUGGAUGUUUCGAAUGAAAAGAGCUCCGUUCGCCAGGCUUGUGCAAACGUUCAGGAACAGGGGUUUGCUAGAAGAUAGCAUCCACACCACUGUGGAAGAGCAAGUAGCCAUGUUCCUCCAUGUUGUUGGUCAUAAUCAGAGGUUCAGGAUUGUACACAACACUUUCAGGAGAUCAAUGGAAACCAUCUCCAGAUACUUAUAGCAUGUGUUGUAUGUUGUUGGGGAGCUUAGAGCAGAGAUGAUCAGGUCACCAACCGGCCGAACUCUUACCAAGAUUCUCACUAGCCCAAGAUGGUAUCCAUACUUCAAGGUCAGCACUGACAGUAUGUAG
rnacentral:rRNA from 1 species